rnacentral:sRNA from 1 species
GCUGGGCGUGGUAGUGCAUGCCUGUAAUCCUAGCAGCUUGGGAGGCUGAAGCAGGAAGAUCAAGGAGUUCAAAGCCAGCCUCAGCAACUUAGUGUGGCCCUAUGCAAUUUAGUGAGACCCUGUCUCAA